rnacentral:RNase_P_RNA from 1 species
GUGCAACAGAGAGCAAACCGCCGAUGGCCCGUGCAAGCGGGAUCAGGUAAGGGUGAAAGGGUGCGGUAAGAGCGCACCGCGCGGCUGGUAACAGUCCGUGGCACGGUAAACUCCACCCGGAGCAAGGCCAAAUAGGGGUUCAUAAGGUACGGCCCGUACUGAACCCGGGUAGGCUGCUUGAGCCAGUGAGCGAUUGCUGGCCUAGAUGAAUGACUGUCCACGACAGAACCCGGCUUAUCGGUCAGUUUCACCU